CUUUGACCUCAAAUCGGGUGAGACUACCCGCUGAACCUAA
rnacentral:rRNA from 1 species